AGAGCUCCAAGUGGGCCAUUU
rnacentral:snRNA from 1 species